rnacentral:rRNA from 1 species
AGUGAACGCUGGCGGCAGGCCUAAUACAUGCAAGUCGAACGGCAGCACAGUGGAGCUUGCUCCAUGGGUGGCGAGUGGCGGACGGGUGAGGAAUACAUGGGAAUCUGCCCAGUCGUGGGGAUAACGUAUGGAAACGUACGCUAAUACCGCAUGCGCCCUUCGGGGGAAAGUCGGGGACCGCAAGGCCUGACGCGAUUGGAUGAGCCCAUGUUCGAUUAGCUAGUUGGCGGGUAACGGCCCACCAAGGCGACGAUCGAUAGCUGGUCUGAGAGGAUGAUCAGCCACACUGGAACUGAGACACGGUCCAGACUCCUACGGGAGCAGCAGUAGGGAAUAUU